GGAAAGAGUGGACAUAUCGAGAGCGUGGAUCCGCCGAACAUCCGUAGUCAUUCACUGAACCACAGCAUUUCUUCACUUCUGAACAUAAUCAGAGAUCCAGGAUGCAGGCUGUACGAGUGAAGUACAGGGAUUGUCAGAAGUAUUUUUGUUAUGAGGUGCAACUGACCUUCAAAUCCUUUUUGGAUUGAGAUUCGUUGAGCUCUUCUGCAAGCAGCUCCUUAUCAAAAUACAGUGGAGACAAUGAGGGGGACUCCAAUGACACCAUUAUAUUGCAGCAGAGUCCUGCUACAAGAAAGACAGCUGAGGAUAAUCGUCUAUCUCAUAUGAUUGAAGACAUUCUGAACAACAAACCUGGAGGAGAGAGGAUCAUGAUUGAGUAUGCUCGGACAAAAAGCCUAACAGAUAGCAGAAGACGCGAUAUGGCCAAGAUAUUAGUUGCACAAAUGACAAGUGAACAUGGUGUGUGUGUCUAGGACAAGUCCUUCAAGGCGUGUUAGAGGACUACGCAAAGGGCAUCAUUGCCUUGUUCCCAUACCUGGCCGAUCCUAGGAGCAAAUUUGGUUAUGAGCAUUAUUACAGUGCAGAAGAUGGGAGUGGAUAUCUAGCAUGGAGACUGAAAUUUGUGCAAAGGGAAGCAUCAGAGGGACGACAGAAGACCAUGCAUCAGUCACUGACGUGUGGUCCAAAAGCUGAUGGACAGUUUUCCUCUCUGAAGGAGUCUCUAACAUACAGCUGAAGCAUACAGCUGAUGAAACAAUUGUAAAGGAGAAGAUGAAGCAGAUGUUCGCCUAUCGUCAAAAUAUGGUUCAUGAACCAGUGAAGUCCUCUGAAAUAUUCACAGCGUUUCCAAGAUUCCAAGACAUAGCAGCAAUGAUUUUAGUCUGAUGUUUGGUGAUGCAACCUCUGCAAAGUUCCUGGAGAAGUGGCCUACUCUCUACAAGGAGAAAGUCAUUGACCAAAGCAGUGGCCUCACACAGACAGGUGACCUGGUUCAAAAUGCUGAAUCCACAACAGAAGUGGAAAAUGGAUGGGACAGUGACAUGUCCUCCAUUUUGGUCCUUGUCCACCUUCUGCCACAGUCACCUCAUGGCUGCAAGAGACCAGGAAAAAUCUCAGCCAGACACACCAGUGAACACAUUGAAGUUUAUCACGGUGUCAUUACAGUUGACUGUUCUGUCCCCAUUCCUAAUCCUAAUAACUACUUUUAAGAUUAUGGACAAAUCAUGACUGGGACCAGCAUCCAGGGGCAUCUGGAGAGCGUGAUGGAAAGCCUUCAACCCUAUCUGCUUGCUGUGGGUUCCCAGAGGAGUGGGAUUCACAAGUACUCCAUUGUGAUUGACAAACAUGCAAUACCUUGUAAGUCACCAGACUCUAUUGCCUGUUUUGAUGAGCUUUUCAAAGCUCAUGUUUGUCUUUGGUACCUCGUACAAUCAGGAUCUGGUAAAUGUGUACAACUUUUGCAAACCACAAUUUAUGAAAUUGAUGUUGAUACCACCAAGGUUAAUCCUAGGGUUGCAGAGUUGAGGGCUCGGAUGCUGCAUUGAGUUACUAAAAGUUUAGAAGUUGCAAAGAGUUAAAACGCAGCAUAGGAAAUAACCUUUUUCCUUUCACACAAACGUUUUCAUAUCAUUCAUCUAAAAUGUUGUGUUUCGCUUGCAAAAGCCCACAGGCAAAUGCCAAUUCCUUGACAAAACAAUUGAAGUUGGUCCACGGACUUUGUCAAGGAAAGACACUUGGUCUUAAAUGCGGUCAGGCUGGUUGUUCACAAGUUUAUGGCACUUUUUCUGGGUUCAGAAAGGAUCUUUAUACAGCACAUGAACCUUGUUCUGAUCACGGUGAAGGCUCCUGAAUAUGUAGCAGUAAGUCAUUUUGAUGACCUGCCAUCAACAAGUUCCCCUUCUGACUCAGUCCUUGCCAAUAAGAGUCUUGUAGACAGCUGCGCUGCAACCAUAGCUGAACUUAAAGUGGCAGGUGUAGGUGAAACAACCAUUAACUCUUUGGUAAUUUCCAAUGAAGAGAUAGUUGAUGAUAUUCAUAUUCAAGCUAAAGAAUCUGGGAAGAAGUGUCUGUCUAUACAGGAGCCUAUUAAAAGUGACAUUGAGUGUAAAAUUGAUCAGUGUUUAAAAAAAAAUGUAAAAUCCCUUUGGUGUAUUAAAUUCUGAAAGUAAGAGAAGGCAGUAUUUGACAGAAAAGUGGGGAAGGUUAGACCCAGUUGAAUGCGUUCUUGUUACAAGAUUUGAUACACAAUGCAAUCGGACUACGGGAGGCUACGAUCAAAUUGUUACUGAUACAUUUGUUUACAUCCCAAUUUUGAAAACAUUAGUUUAUUUACAAACACCCUAAUAUAAAGGAGAUGAUGCAGACUGAUUCCAGUUCAAGAGAACUUUGACUUAUGUGAUGGAGAUCUGUUCCAAGAGCCAUGCUCUAUUUUCAAAACAGAAGCAAUUCAGAUACAGCUUCUCUGUGAUGAUUUUGAAACUGUAAAUCCUCUUGGAUCAAAACAGGGAAAACAAAAUAAAUUAGGAGCAAUCUAUUUCAAUUUAUGUAAUUUUUCUCCAAAGUUCAAAUCAUUUCUGCUUAAUAGUAAUUUGGUUGCUUUAUUUCAUGCCCAAGACAUUAAAACAUAUGGCUUUUCUAAAAUACUUGAUCCAAUUGUGCAGGAUAUUAAAAUUACUUGAGGGAUGGAUUUAUGGUUCCCUUGUAUGAUCAACCAGUGUAUGGAACUAUUGUCCAAGUCACAGGUGACAACCUUGGUCUUCACUGUUUAUUUGGUUUUGUCGAAUCAUUCAUUACCAGAUAUUGUUGUCCCUUUUGUCUUGCUGAGACAGACGACUUUCAGACUGAAUUUGAUGAAGAUUCACCCAAGAUAGUUAUGCGAACUCGAGCACUUCAUGCAGAACACUGCCACAAAAAAAAGGCGACAAAUCCCAGUCUUCCCUAUGUGUGAUGGGUGUUAAACAUUCUUGCGUUCUAAACUCCUUGCCGUACUUCAAUACACGUGAAAACUUCUCUCUCGAUAUUAUCCAUGAUAUCUUGGAGGGAGCGGCACAAUAUGAAAUGAAACUGCUAGUACUGCACUUGAUAGACAAGUACACAACAUCAAAUGAAAUAGACAGGAGAAUAAAGAGCUUUAACUAUGGUUACAUGGAGCAAAACAACAAACCUCCUGCAGUGAAGUUAGGAGAGAACUCUAAUAACUUGGGGUUAAAUUGCUAUCCAGUCCUGGUGUUUACUUCGCAAUCUACCACUUCUCUUUGGAGACUUAGUUUGUCCAAAUGAUCUACACUGGUAUUUACUGUUGCUGUUGCUUCAGUGAUAUCUCCAAUGAUAUCAAAGGGUGUUACAAUUUUUUUGAAACACUUAAUCGCAGAACACCACAGGUUAUUCAAGCAAUUGUUUCCAAAAAAGAGGCUGCUACCGAAGCAUCAUUUUAUGGUGCGUUACCCCACAUGUAUGCUUGAAAUUUGACCAAUUUUACAUAGCUGGUGCAUGUGCAAAAUGAAGCAAAGCAUAAUUCCUUUAAAAAACAAUUAAAAAGCUUAAAUGUAACAAACAUUGGCAAAAAGAACACAAGUCAAACAGCAUACAGUUGGUAGACAUUUGACACCAACAGAGUCAUGAUUAGUCCAGGUAAAAUGUUAUCUUUAAAUGUCAUGGACUGGGGCUGUGAUUCAAGUUUGUUUAUUGUCUCAUACUGUUUCCCGUGACUCUAAAAACGGCACAGUAAGCUCUUUAAAACCAAGAUGUAUUGUAUUGCAAUAUUGGCCUUUUGAUUUACUUUUCAAGGAGGGACAGAUGCCAAAAUGUCAUUUUACAGAGGCCACAAUUUUAUUUGAUCAUCAGUGUUUUUGAUAUCUGAGAUGCUAGUUUCACAAAAUCCUCCAUGUCAUUGUUAGAUGUAUUGAAUUGCAAUAUUGAGCUUUUCUAUGUACAUGUAUUCAAGUGAACAGAGGCCAACAUUUCAUUUCAGUCCACAAUUGUAUUUUAUUAUCAUCAGUAUUUUGAUGUAUGUAUUGCAAAUGUCUUACAUUUAAGA